rnacentral:rRNA from 1 species
GAUGAACGCUGGCGGCGUGCUUAAUACAUGCAAGUCGAGCGAACAGACGAGGCGCUUGCUCCUCUGUCGUUAGCGGCGGACGGGUGAGUCACACGUGGAUCACCUACCUAUCAGACUGGGAUAUCUUCGGGAAUCCGGCGCUAAUCCCGGAUAAUAUCUUGCACCGCAUGGUUCAAUAGUGAAAGUCGGUUUUGCUGUCACUUCUAGAUGGAUCCGCGCCGCAUUAGCUAGUUGGUACGGUAACGGCUUACCACGGCAACGAUGCGUAGCCGACCUGAGAGGGUGAUCGGCCACACGGGAACUGGGACACGGACCAUGCUCCUGCGGGAGGCAGCAGUAGGGAAUCGGCCGCAACAGGCGAGAGCCUGGCGGAGCAGCGCCGCGUGAGAGAUGAAGAUCUUCGGAGCGUGAUACUGUGUUAUUGGUGAUGAACAAAUGUGUAAUGAACUAUACACGGCGUGACGGUACCUAAUCAAAAAGCCACGGCUAACUACGUG